GCGUCCUAUUAGCUAGUUGGUGAGGUAACGGCUCACCAAGGCGACGAUAGGUAGCCGGCCUGAGAGGGUGAACGGCCACACUGGAACUGAGACACGGUCCAGACUCCUACGGGAGGCAGCAGUGGGGAAUAUUGCACAAUGGAGGAAACUCUGAUGCAGCGACGCCGCGUGAAUGAUGAAGGCCUUCGGGUCGUAAAAUUCUGUCCUUGGGGAAGAUAAUGACGGUACCCAAGGAGGAAGCCCCGGCUAACUACGUGCCAGCAGCCGCGGUAAUACGUAGGGGGCGAGCGUUGUCCGGAAUUAUUGGGCGUAAAGGGUUCGCGGGCGGUCUGAUAAGUCAGAUGUGAAAGGCAAUGGCUCAACCAUUGUAAGCAUUUGAAACUGUCAGACUUGAGCUAAGGAGAGGAAAGUGGAAUUCCUAGUGUAGCGGUGAAAUGCGUAGAUAUUAGGAGGAAUACCAGUGGCGAAGGCGACUUUCUGGACUUAUACUGACGCUGAGGAACGAAAGCGUGGGGAGCAAACAGGAUUAGAUACCCUGGUAGUCCACGCCGUAAACGAUGAGUGCUAGGUGUUGGGGGUCAAACCUCGGUGCCGCAGCUAACGCAUUAAGCACUCCGCCUGGGGAGUACGUACGCAAGUAUGAAACUCAAAGGGAUUUGACGGGACCCGCACAAGCAGCGGAGCAUGUGGUUUAUUUCGAAGCACGCGAAGAACCUUACCAGGCUUGACAUGCCACUGACCGCGCCAGAGAUGGUGCUUUACCUUCGGGUAAGUGACACAGUGUUGCAUGUUGUCGUCAGCUCGUGUC
rnacentral:rRNA from 1 species